rnacentral:rRNA from 1 species
UGCAAGUCGAACGAUGAUGCCCAGCUUGCUGGGCGGAUUAGUGGCGAACGGGUGAGUAACACGUGAGUAACCUGCCCUUGACUUCGGGAUAACUCCGGGAAACCGGGGCUAAUACCGGAUAUGAGCCGUCCUCGCAUGGGGGUGGUUGGAAAGUUUUUCGGUCAGGGAUGGGCUCGCGGCCUAUCAGCUUGUUGGUGGGGUGAUGGCCUACCAAGGCGACGACGGGUAGCCGGCCUGAGAGGGCGACCGGCCACACUGGGACUGAGACACGGCCCAGACUCCUACGGGAGGCAGCAGUGGGGAAUAUUGCACAAUGGGCGAAAGCCUGAUGCAGCGACGCCGCGUGAGGGAUGAAGGCCUUCGGGUUGUAAACCUCUUUCAGCAGGGAAGAAGCGCAAGUGACGGUACCUGCAGAAGAAGCGCCGGCUAACUACGUGCCAGCAGCCGCGGUAAUACGUAGGGCGCAAGCGUUGUCCGGAAUUAUUGGGCGUAAAGAGCUCGUAGGCGGUUUGUCGCGUCUGGUGUGAAAACUCGAGGCUCAACCUCGAGCUUGCAUCGGGUACGGGCAGACUAGAGUGCGGUAGGGGAGACUGGAAUUCCUGGUGUAGCGGUGGAAUGCGCAGAUAUCAGGAGGAACACCGAUGGCGAAGGCAGGUCUCUGGGCCGCAACUGACGCUGAGGAGCGAAAGCAUGGGGAGCGAACAGGAUUAGAUACCCUGGUAGUCCAUGCCGUAAACGUUGGGCACUAGGUGUGGGGCUCAUUCCACGAGUUCCGUGCCGCAGCAAACGCAUUAAGUGCCCCGCCUGGGGAGUACGGCCGCAAGGCUAAAACUCAAAGGAAUUGACGGGGGCCCGCACAAGCGGCGGAGCAUGCGGAUUAAUUCGAUGCAACGCGAAGAACCUUACCAAGGCUUGACAUGCACGAGAAGCCACCAGAGAUGGUGGUCUCUUUGGACACUCGUGCACAGGUGGUGCAUGGUUGUCGUCAGCUCGUG